GCAGCACGGGAAGCUUGCUUCCUGGUGGCGAGCGGCGGACGGGUGAGUAAUGCAUAGAAAUCUGCCCGGUAGUGGGGGAUAACCUGGGGAAACCCAGGCUAAUACCGCAUACGUCCUACGGGAGAAAGCAGGGGAUCUUCGGACCUUGCGCUAUCGGAUGAGUCUAUGUCGGAUUAGCUUGUUGGUGAGGUAAUGGCUCACCAAGGCGACGAUCCGUAGCUGGUCUGAGAGGAUGAUCAGCCACAUCGGGACUGAGACACGGCCCGAACUCCUACGGGAGGCAGCAGUGGGGAAUAUUGGACAAUGGGCGAAAGCCUGAUCCAGCCAUGCCGCGUGUGUGAAGAAGGCCUUCGGGUUGUAAAGCACUUUCAGUGGGGAAGAAAGCCUUGGGGCUAAUACCCUCGAGGAAGGACAUCACCCACAGAAGAAGCACCGGCUAACUCCGUGCCAGCAGCCGCGGUAAUACGGAGGGUGCGAGCGUUAAUCGGAAUUACUGGGCGUAAAGCGCGCGUAGGCGGUCUGAUAAGCCGGUUGUGAAAGCCCCGGGCUCAACCUGGGAACGGCAUCCGGAACUGUCAGGCUAGAGUGCAGGAGAGGAAGGUAGAAUUCCCGGUGUAGCGGUGAAAUGCGUAGAGAUCGGGAGGAAUACCAGUGGCGAAGGCGGCCUUCUGGACUGACACUGACGCUGAGGUGCGAAAGCGUGGGUAGCAAACAGGAUUAGAUACCCUGGUAGUCCACGCCGUAAACGAUGUCGACUAGCCGUUGGGCUCCUUGAGAGCUUUGUGGCGCAGUUAACGCGAUAAGUCGACCGCCUGGGGAGUACGGCCGCAAGGUUAAAACUCAAAUGAAUUGACGGGGGCCCGCACAAGCGGUGGAGCAU
rnacentral:rRNA from 1 species